AGAACGAACGCUGGCGGCAGGCCUCAAACAUGCAAGUCUAGGGGGUGUAGCAAUACAUCACCGGCGGACGGGUGCGUAACACGUGGGAAUAUACCUUUCGGUACGGAACAACUGCGGGAAACUGCAGCUAAUACCGUAUACGUCCUUACGGAGAAAGAUUUAUCGCCGAAGGAUUAGCCCGCGUUCGAUUAGCUAGUUGGUGAGGUAAUGGCUCACCAAGGCGACGAUCGAUAGCUGUUCUGAGAGGAAGAUCAGCCACACUGGGACUGAGACACGGCCCAGACUCCUACGGGAGGCAGCAGUUGGGAUCUUGGACAAUGGGGGAAACCCUGAUCCAGCCAUGCCGCGUGAGUGAUGAAGGCCUUCGGGUUGUAAAACUCUUUCGACGGGGACGAUAAUGACGGUACCCGUAGAACGAAGCUCCGGCUAACUUCGUGCCAGCAGCCGC
rnacentral:rRNA from 1 species